GUUGACUUGAAGAAGAAGGAAGGAGUCGAUUGGGCAUCAUCAUACAACAAGUGAAUUGAGGAAGGAAGGAAGAAGAUAGUUAUUUACGUAUGUAUAAGUGAGUCCCGAGUCGUCUAAAAAUAGGGGAAAAGCAGCACGAAAAGUGAUCCAAUCUUAUCUCGGAGGACUGAUAAAUUUACUGGUUCGAUGAACAUUUCCUUCUCGUCGUCAUCCAUGUCGUCGUCGUCAUAUUCUAUUACAUCUCUAAAUACGUCAUCCUCUCCUAUCGUCGUUCACUGAAUUAGCGAGGAGGAGGCAGGAAACACAUCAGCUUCGCGACAUGAGCUCUGAGAACGAUAUGAUUAUGCGAUACACAUAAUAAUUCCAAACAAAUUCAGACGAGGAGGAGUAUGAAAAUAAUAAUCUUCCACCCCGGCUUAAGAGUUGGAUGACGAAUGGUUAUUUAGUUGCAUACAUAUGUUGGUUCUCAUCCGAUUUGAAUAUUGUGACGCUGGAUAAUAUAAUGACGGCAAAUAUAAAAUCCGGCCGGGGCAAAGUUUCGCUCCAUCGUCAUCACCGUCAACCUGUUCAUAAAGUGAAACAAGACACGUAUGUAUGAAUUAUUCAGAAUGAGGGAAUUAGGUGCCAAAAUUAGACACAAACUUUCACUCCGCCAACUUUGCCUGUCUUAAGUUCUUGAUGAAUGAAUGGAGAAGUUGGCCAAGAUUUAAUUUGGGUCGUCAUCAUCCUGUCCAUCAUGUACAAGUUAUCAUCAUCCCAGCAGCGGCAGGAGGGGGAGCAUACUCAAAUAAAAAGUUGGAAAGGUGCACAUGCUUUCUCUCCCACAAUUUGCUGAAUAAACAUUAGAAAAACUAUGGAAUUCAUGCAGCCCGAGCCAGAAGUAAGGGUAAAACUGAAUAGAUUUUUGUUUUCCUGAAAGUCGUUAUGCCCUGACCCACCAAUGAUUUUUUUAAGAAAUUGACGGAUCUGAUGAUUUCGACAGUGUGACGCAUUUUCUAGCUCGUACUGAUCCAAUGCGAAUGUAUGGAAAUAAUUUAUAGUUCGGUAGUUUAGGUUUUGCUCUGUAGUGUCACGGACGGACUUGAGGGACGGACGAACAUGAUGGUUACACAAGUCCUGAAAAAGUCGGGCUGAAAAGUGAAAGUCUUUCUGGCUGGGAGAAGAAGAUAGGUUUUUGGUUGGCGUGGGCGGAAUAAGACAGCUUUGAGAGUUACAUUUUCUGCCUAAUGCUUGUUGAUUGUAUGGGAUGUGAAUGGAAUACAAUGUCGUGACAUGAAGUGGGGGUUCGAAUCAAGUAAGUGAAAGGACGACAAAGACAGAAUUUGUAUUCGGAGCAAACUUUCCUUUUUCUUGCUGACGAUGAGUCCGGUGAAAGUGCAACUCAUGCAAUGCAAGACAAACUUUAAUCCUGGAUCGUAUCUUCUCUUAAUUCUUUCCAUCACUAGACGGCUUACGUCACUCUCAUUAUUUUUCCUAUCUGUUAAUGCUCAGUCAAUCGAUAUAAUGGGGUGAUAAGGUAAGAUAACGACUUAUCAAUACCUAUACAUAUAGGAAAAGUUACGUAACACAGAAAUUGAAUUUAGUGGCGCUUGAUCGGACUCAAAUUACGAUGAAUUCGACCGUUAUUCAGAAGGAUGAAGUAUAUAUUUAGACUUUAUAUAAUAAUAAAAUAGAUAAAAAAAAUGUCCAAUAAAUAUAAUAAAAAUGA